CAUGCCGUGAGGAGGGGACUUAUGUCAAACACCAGCAGGCUUCGCAACAUUUCAAGCGGAGUGUUAGGGCCGCUGCUGGGAACUUCUGUCUUCGUGAAGAGGUCCUGUACCAUGGGAACAGAAGGGUCAUUUUGACAGAGGAGGAGAAAGUGGCUGUGUUAACCGAAGCCCAUGCAAGCCAUUUUGGACCACGGAGGAUGCAAGCGAAGAUUGCUCCCCGGUUUUAUUGGCGGUCCAUCACACAGGACACAUUGGAUUGGGUGCGCACAUGUCCUGACUGCCAGCGCUUUGAAAAAUUAAAGACCGAGGCGCCUGAGCUGAAGCCCAUCAAGGUCGUAUCACCUUGGUACAUGG